CAGCAGCCGCGGGAAUACGGAGGGCGCGAGCGUUACCCGGAUUUACUGGGCGUAAAGGGCGUGUGGGCGGCCUGGGGCGUCCCAUGUGAAAGGCCACGGCUCAACCGUGGAGGAGCGUGGGAUACGCUCAGGCUAGAGGGUGGGAGAGGGUGGUGGAAUUCCCGGAGUAGCGGUGAAAUGCGCAGAUACCGGGAGGAACGCCGAUGGCGAAGGCAGCCACCUGGUCCACUUCUGACGCUGAGGCGCGAAAGCGUGGGGAGCAAACCGGAUUAGAUACCCCAGUAGUCCCUGUCUCUUAUAC
rnacentral:rRNA from 1 species